rnacentral:rRNA from 1 species
GUAGGUGGCAAGCGUUGUCCGGAAUUAUUGGGCGUUAAAGCGCGCGCGGGGGGCGGUUCUUUAAGUCUAAUGUGAAAGCCCACGGGCUCAACCGUGGAGGGUCAUUGGAAACUGGGGGACUUGAGUACAGAAGAGGAAAGCGGAAUUCCAAGUGUAGCGGUGAAAUGCGUAGAGAUUUGGAGGAACACCAGUGGCGAAGGCGGCUUUCUGGUCUGUAACUGACGCUGAGGCGCGAAAGCGUGGGGAGCAAACAGGAUUAGAUACCCUGGUAGUCCACGCCGUAAACGAUGAGUGCUAAGUGUUAGGGGGUUUCCGCCCCUUAGUGCUGCAGCUAACGCAUUAAGCACUCCGCCUGGGGAGUACGGCCGCAAAGGCUG